GAACUGAAACAUCUAAGUACCCUCAGGAAAAGAAAUCAAUUGAGAUUGCCUUAGUAGCGGCGAGCGAACGGGUAAGAGCCGAUGAUUUAUGUUGUAGUGGAAUCUUCUGGGAAGUUGAGCGAUACAGGGUGACAGCCCCGUACACAAAGCAACAUUUAUCACAUAUUAAGUAGGACGGGACACGUGUUAUCUUGUCUGAAGAUGGGGGGACCAUCCUCCAAGGCU
rnacentral:rRNA from 1 species